GGAAAGAAACCCAGCUUGACCUCCUGGCUGCACCUGCUGGGAGGAGACUGGCUGGGUGGGUGGCAGAGGGCAGGUUAGGACCUCAGCCUCUGCUUCCCUGAGGCACCUGCAGAUACUGGUGAGAGAGAGGGAGGAGGAAAGGAGGGAGGAGGGAGGGAGGGAGGGGCCAUAGGGCUGGGACAGGUCUGACUACAAGGGGGGAGGGAACAUCAAUGUUUAGGGCUCUGAGAAGCACUGAGGAAUGUUAGUGCAGGGAUAGCACUAGCAGUAACAGCAGUCCUUGACUGGCCUGAUGUCCCCUCAUCCCUGAUCAGACCCUCAGAAAUGGUAAAGGCAGGGCCUCAGGAAGGGUCAGCUGAGAAAUGCAUCUGAAAUGAAGGUUCAAUUCAGCCAAGGCAGCAUUGACCUUCAACUGAAAGGAACAUUCCUUUUUAGUUGUGCCGGUAUACCAGCGCCUCGUAGAUAUUGCCAUGUUCAUUAGUUAUGGCCCUGUGGCUGCCAGGUGCUCGCGUUCUGCAGGGAACGGCGGGUUCAGACCCACUGCACGUGCCUGCCAGCCUCCCAGACCUGCUGGGCUCGGGAACGCUCCAGUCUCGGGGCCCAGCCUGGGAGCCCAGCUCUCCACGCAGCCAACAAUGUCAUCUGAACAAUGGUGCGCUGAGGGGAGACGUCCUUCUCAGUCCGGAGCUCCAAAAUGGGACACUUCGGAGAGGCUGAAUGAUACCUCCUAACUCUGGGAGGGCCUGGGAGCCCAGCUCUCCACGCAGCCAACAAUGUCAUCUGAACAUGCCACUUGGAGGAUGUCUGUCCUUGGGAAAGUCACUGAAAAUGGGAAUAAUAAUGCUCGCUUUGCAGACACCAAGCAUCAUGGACCUGGGAUUGGGAAAAGCUAGUUGCUUUGUAAAUAAAUACUAUCAGUCAGUCUUAUGUACAAUAUAUUCCUUAUAGCAAUUUAUUCCUCAAAUAACACAUCAACGUAGUUAUAACAACCACACUUGGCAGAUCAGCUAAUUGAAAUCUUUAAAUGUUUCACCUGUGCAGAGUCACAUAAGUAACAGAGCCUUGGGGCGCCUGGGUGGCUCAGUCGGUUAAGAGUCUGCCUUUGGCUCAGGUCAUGAUCCCAGGGUCCUGGGAUUGAGCCCCGCAUCGGGCUCCAUGCUCCACUGGGAAGCCUGUUUCUUCCUCUCCCACUCCCCCUGCUUGUGUUUCCUCUCUCGCUGGCUGUCUCUCUGUCAAAUAAAUAAAAUCUUUAAAAAAAAAAAAAAAAAAGCAGUGGAGCCUUGAUUCAAACCCAAAUCUGAGAAAGUCCAAAACUACUUGUCACACCAGUCAUUCCAUAUAUUUUAGAAUUUUAUAUUUUAUAUAUAUAUAUAUAUAUAUAUA
rnacentral:lncRNA from 1 species